GACGAACGCUGGCGGCGUGCCUAAUACAUGCAAGUCGAACGCAGUGGGGACGGGUGAGUAACCCGUGGGUAACCUCCCAUCAGAGGGGAUAACACUUGGAAACAGGUGCUAAACCGAUACUGAUGGAUGGACCCGCGGUGAAUUAGCUAGUGGGUGAGGUAACGGCUCACCAAGGCCACUAUGGAUAGCCAACCGGAGAGGGUGAUAGGGCACACUGGUAAUGAGACACGGUCCAGACUCCGAUGGGAGGCAGAAGUAGGGAAGCUUCGGCAAUGGACGAAAGUCUGACCGAGCAACGCCGCGUGAGUGAAGAAGGUUUUCGGAUCGUAAAACUCUGUUGUUAGAGAAGCGGUAUCUAACCAGAAAGCCACGGCUAACUACGUGCCAGCAGCCGCGGUAAUAC
rnacentral:rRNA from 1 species